UGCAUGGUAGGUGGUAAUAAAUUCUUAACAGUUUGUUGUUUGAUACUCAUGUUUGGCUUAUUGGAUCAUGGUGCCAGAGGCAAAAAUAAUUAGAAGGAGGAUAGUAUUUAGUAAAGCAAGACAAAAUUAAGUUUUAUUUAAAAAUUAUUAUUAUUAUGAUUGUGGUAAAAUACACAUAACAUAAAAUUUGCCAUCUUCACUAUUUUUAAUUGUGUAGUUCGGUGGUAUUAAAUAUGUUCACAUGUUAUGUAACCAUCAACAUCAUCAAUCUCCAUAAUGCUUUUCAUUUUGUAAAUCUGAAAUUCCAUACCCAUUAAGCAAUAACUCCCUAUUUACCCCACCCCCCAGACCCUGACAACCACAAUUCUAUUUUCUGUCUCUAUGGUUUAGACUACUUUAAGUACCUUUUAUAAGUGGAAUCAUGCAAUAUUUGUCUUUUUGUGACUGGUCAUUUUUCUUAGCAUAAAGUUGUCAACCUUUAUGACAACUUCUUCCAUAUUGUAGCAUAUGUAAGAAUUUCCUUCCUUUUUAAGGCUGAAUAAUCCAAAUUAAGUUUUGUAGCCUGAUAAAAUACUGACAGGUUGAACAUCAUAGAAAACCCUUUAUAAAAUCUGUAUUUAAAUAAAUAGUUUCCAUUCUAUAGAGUAUAAUGUUGCGCUUAUUAAAAGAGAAAUAAUGAUAAAAACAUGUAUUUGAUGUACAAACAUUCUGCUUAUGGCAUCUUGAAGAAUUUAGGACACAGUCACAUUCAGGAAUUACAGGCUAAUGAGCAUCUUCACCUCUUUUCAUUCACUCUGAAGAGGUUUCAUGAAAGUCAGAAGACUUUCAACAUUGGGAAUGUUGGAAUGAAAUGUGCUUUAGUAUUUUUAAUUUUUUUUAAAUAAAAUAAUCCAGGUGAGGUUAAUUAAUGCAUACACUCAGCCUAAUCAAAAGAAAUCUAUUGGGAUAAUGAGCAUUUUGGUGACUAUUGCAAAGAAAAAGGUGCUUAUUUCUAAGGCAGAAAGAAAAUAUAUUUUCAUAGUUAAUAUAUACAUUAAAAUUGUAUGUACUUGCAUAUUAGAUAUACACAGUGUUAAAGCUAUGGCUAAUAUAUCAUUUUGGAGAAAAAUCUGAGUAAAAAUUAACUCUUGUAAAGAGUUACUGGUGUCAGAUGGCAGAGUCCCAAAUGAGUGGAUUCGUUUAUCCCCACAAUGUAUCAGGUGAUCACCUCUCAUAAAAACUACUAUUAACCUAAAAAAUUAGGGUCAGUAAAAGCUUAGCUCUAAUUCACAAAUCUCAACAAGCUGAACUGUUAGACCCAGUGAGCUCAUUAGGAUAGAUUAAAGACCAAACAUAAUGACAUUACGAAAUAUGUGAUUUUAAUAUGUUUGAUCCUAUCAGAGCAAUCCUUUUAAUAACAUGAUUUUAUUGUGGAACCUUGUAUGUUUUCCUUAAAAACCAAAAAGACAAUCUAAAAAUUUAACCCAUUGUUGUUUCUUAGCUUGUAACCCCGUGAUACUUGAUUUAAUUUGGUAAAGCUGACUGAAGUGAUGCUAUUCUGGGACAUAAUGACAGCAAAGAUGACAUGAGCCAAUGCUGCAGCUGAAUUUCAAUUUUCAGUAAAAAAUCCUCACCCCACCUGCCACUGGAAUAGAAAUAAUAUCAAGGGCUAACUUCUAAUCUUGCACCCCUGUCAUACAUCAUACUCUGGAUUCCAACAGUCUACACCUAUUUUCUUUUAUAAUGGUCCUAACCCCAAACAAGCAACCUAGGGUUUGUAGCAACAAAAUCAGAUCCUUACAGUGAACAGGACUUUGCAAAGCACCUUCUUCAGAAUUAGUAAUAUUACUUACUUAAUAUGGGAAAAAACAUACAAAUCUUACCAUCAAUGGGCCAACUCAUAACCAACAAUUUAUAGCAUACAAGAACCUUCAUGGUAUCUUAUUCAACCUUUAACAUAAUUCUAUUUGUUAUCAUUAAUUCUAAAUCACAAAUGAGGAAACAGAGUCAGAAACAGCUGAUUUUUCACUGUGCUUGGGUUAGGUCCAACUCUGGAAUUAUCAUAUGCAAAUAAUGACAGAGAGAGGCUCUCAUAUAGUUGUAGAAUUGUAACAAGACAACAAGCAAUUCACAUAAGUCAUGGUUUCUCAGACAAUAAUCUUGUUUAGUAAUUAUUAGUCUUUAUCUGAAACACAUGGUUUGAUGGUAAAUUUUUUGAAUAGGCGAUAAUAAAAAAUAAUUCUCAAAAAGAACCCUCAAAGUCAACUGUGUGUAUUUCCUUCUUUCCUGGUGGGGAAAGUUUAUAAGGGUUGGGGCAAGUCCCUUCAGACCCAGGAAUUUGAUAAACACCAUCAGGGUUGUUGAGACCAACCUCACUGUGAGAGAGAAACAGAAUGAAUGAGAUGUUGAUAUAGGAAAGGAAGUAGCUGAAUUAAGAGUGUUUUCUUCUUUACUAACAGCCAGUCCACACGUUGAAAAGCAUUCAGUUACAAUUUUUAUCUAUAAAGAGUGGAACAUUCGCCCAAUGUCCCAGUACAAUAGGACCAUGAGAGUGAAGUUCCCUAAAGAACUCAACCAUUUCCAUGGAUAGAUGGCAGAGGAACACAGCUUUGCUGUCAGAAUGAUUUGUGACCAGGCCUAGAUGGGGACUGGGGGCAUCCUGGCAGGUUGAUAAUUUUAUUUUAAAACCAUAUUCUUUCAAUAUUUGUACAUUUAUAUCGAAGAGAGUCUGAGCUCUGUGUGGGAGCAAUGUGCAGUGGGAACUUCUGGGUCCCUCGGUGUCCCCUUUCAUGUCUUAGGCUAUUUGGCUCUACCAGGUGUGGAUAUUCCACUCAGCACGGCUGUGCCCACAGAGGCUGUGCCUCUGGCUUGCUCUUCUUGGAAGUCAGAUGCAAAUAUCGCCUUCUCGGGUCUUAGCCCCAUCUUAGUAUCCCAUCCUUUUCCCUAAGAAGAAACGUGGCAUAUACAAGUUCCUCCAUCUUGUGACAUUUCCACGAUUCUCUUAGCCCCUCUUACAGAACAGUUUCCCAAGCAGCAGCCUGCCUGAUCCACCCUUAAUUCAGCUGUGCGUCUGACAACAUGUUCUACAGGAAAGAUAACCUUGUACAUCAGGUGUUUCCUGUUUCCAGUACCAAAAGGUCAGUACUUGAUUACACAUGUAUUUACAAGGGUAGAGAAGGGAAAUGAUCAAAAGUUUUUACAACCAUAGUCCUUCAAUUAAGAAAGAAGUGGUCUUUAAUUUUCUCCAUUCUUUUUAAAAAUUCUCUUUCUACCUUUGUUUAAAUAUCUCUCCUAACUAGGAAAGACCUGUUGUACAUCAUACAAGGCAUACCAACCCACAUACUAGAACACAUAAGUAGGAGGAAUAGUGUUCUAGAAGAGAAUUACUAUUUGGAGAAAAAAAGGCAUAAUUUCCUUUUACAGUCAUGCAUUGCUUAAUGCCAGAGAUACGUCCUGAGAAAUGUGUGAUUAGGCAGUAUCAUCAUUGUGUGAACAUAAUAGAAUGUAUUUACACAAACCUAGGUGGUAUAACCCACUAUUCACCUAAGCAAUAUGGUACUGCUCCUAGGCUACAAACCUGUAUAGCAUGUUACUAUACUGGAUACUGUAAACAAUUGUAACCCAAUGGUAAGUAUUUACAUAUCUAAACAUAUCUGAGCAUUAAAAAGGUACAGUAAAAAUACAGUAUUCUAGUCUUACAGGAUUACCACUAUAUAUGCCCUUUGUCAUUGAUGGAACCAUCAUUAUGCUGUGCUUGCCUAUAUUUCAAAAUUCACUAUAAAAAGAUAGGUGAACCUCAGAUCCAUCUCCUAGAUGUAUGAUUUCUAGCUGCAUAUUAACCUCAGUCACAUUUUAAUAUUAUUCACACAAAAAUUAAAACACUCAGGUAUUUGUGAUGAAGUAAUUUUGCCUAAAUUUAUUUUAUUUCCAAAGAACCUGCAUCAAUUUGAUUCAGUAACAUUUAAAAUCAUUCAACAAAAAUCUUUCAAACUUUUAUGUUACAGUAAUAUUCAAACUCUUUUUUUGUGGCUCAAAUCUUUUUAUGAACUUCAAUUAUGUGAAAAUAUCCAAUUUUAUUUUUAAAUAAAGAUGUUUAGAAAUGUAUUGAUAUUUGUCAAAUCUAAGUUGCAGCUAUGUAAGUUUUUAUUAAGUCAUUCUCUGUGUAUACUUCUAAGUAUGUUGGACUUCUUACAUAAAAAAUUAAACGUUAUUGAGGAAAGAAAAGGGAGAAUAAGUUUCAAAAAGAAAUUUAUCUUUCUUUAGAUAUAUAUAAUCAUCACAAAAUAUUAUCAGAUAACAAAUCUUGAAUUUUACUUUAAAUGAAAACAUUUUUCAGAUCUGUCUUACUAAUUUUAUGUAAUUCCUUUUCACAUGUUUCGUGAGGCUGAUAAAAUGCUUCGUAAGCAGGUAUUCAUGUGGCUCUAUAACAAGUUAUUUUUAGGAAGCUUAUAUACAAAAAUACUUGCCACACUUUCUCUCACUCUCUGGACAGUCAGACAAGAAGGCUCACUUUCUCCAGGAAUCUCCUAGUGCCAGGUUCUGGGCUGUGGACACCAUGCUGGCCAGAGGAAGCUGCUGCACAGUGUCUUCCUUUGGCUUUGGUAUCAAGGUAAUGCUGGCCUCAUAAGGCAGAAUCAUAAUUCUCUACCAGCUGCUUAUUUUAGAGUCAUCUGGGUCUGGGGAUGGUUCUGGACAAAAAUACAAAUUUGGAGACCCAUCACUGGUUUGUAGGAUCAGUGAGAUCAUGAAAACUAGAAGUAAUUUCAACGCGACUUUUUUUAUUUACUUUGGAAAUGGUUCAGUUGGACACAUGAGUGAUAAGAGGUGGACAUUUCAAGUUCAAUUGUGUUUGAUGACUCAUUAGGUUAAAGAAGCUGUCAGGUGGUAAAGUCACCCCAGGUUGUUAAUAAAUAUACCAGAGAAUAAUGGUCCUGCUAUUGAUGGAUCCCAAGGGAGAAUUCCUAUUAAUCACUUCAAUCUUAGGGAGCACAAAGGAAAGGCCAUGCGAGGACACAGGGAGAAGACAGGCCCCUACCAGUCAGGAAGGGAGCCCUCACCAGAAACUGAGCUGGCCAGCACAAUGGUCUUGGACUUGUAGCUCCAGAACUGUGAGGAAAUAAAUUUCUGUUGUUGAAGCCACCCAGUCUGUGAUUUUUUUUAUGGCAGUACUAGCAGAUUGAUAUACCUUCCAUCUAGUUGCCUGAAAA
rnacentral:lncRNA from 1 species